UGGGGGAUAUUGCACAAUGGGCGCAAGCCUGAUGCAGCGACGCCGCGUGGGGGAUGAAGGCCUUCGGGUUGUAAACUUCUUUUGCUCUGAACAAGGCGCACUUUGGGGUGUGUUGAGUGUAGGGGUUGAUUAGCGCCGGCUAACUACGUGCCAGCAGCCGCGGUAAUACGUAGGGCGCGAGCGUUGUCCGGAAUUAUUGGGCGUAAAGGGCUUGUAGGUGGCUGGUUGCGUCUGUCGUGAAAGCUCAUGGCUUAACUGUGGGUUUGCGGUGGGUACGGGCCGGAUUGAGUGCAGUAGGGGAGGCUGGAAUUCCUGGUGUAGCGGUGGAAUGCGAAGAUAUCAGGAGGAAUACCGGUGGCGAAGGCGGGUCUCUGGGCUGUUACUGACACUGAGGAGCGAAAGCAUGGGGAGCGAACAGG
rnacentral:rRNA from 1 species